rnacentral:lncRNA from 1 species
CUUUUUUUUUUUUUUUUUUGGUCAACACAGAGGUAUCCCAGUCAUUGCCGGACUAAUCCCCUGGGCUGUACAGAGCCCCGUCCACGGAUAUACAGUAAGAUUCGAACUGGUGACCUACGAGAUAUUAUCGCAUGUGAUUUUUUAGAUUUUUUUUUAAAUUGCAUUUUUUUUGGACUUUUUGUAGAAAAAAUACUAUAGCGAUUUGAUAUAUAUGAGAUAAAAAAAUGAUUGAAAAAUAUAUCCACAAAAAACGUAAUAAUUUUUCUUUAAAAAAUUACAAUCCAAACACACCCUUAGAUUUUUCAUUUUCAAGCUUUUUACCAUAAACUGUAAGGGUGAGGUUUCGCUAAACUGGGAUGUUGAUGGUUGGGCCACCGGUGCGCGCAUGACAAAUUCAAUUGGUGACACCCAAAACCGAAUUGUCCUGAAAAGUGCCAUGCAUGAUCAUUGAUGUCUUCAUCAGGGAUAUAUGUCUUUCUAGGGUCAUCCAUAUUCUAUUCACUGUUCAUUCAUUUCCACUAAAAUAACACGAGUAAUUCUACCAUGCCCUAACUUCAUAUUAGAGUUCUGUGAUGCUGCAACAAAUUUAAGAUUAAGGAAAUAAGUUGAAACGCGAAUAUAUUUGCAGUGGGUUGUCCCUUUUAUACCAGCUAUUCCUCAUUGCAAUGGUCUUUUAAUCAUGGUGUUUCUUACCUACAGAAUCCACACAGAAGAACAAUUAGUCGGCGUACCCAAGGAUGUCCAGAUCCAAUAUGGAAGAAUCUACGAGGCUGAAACUGAAGAUUAACUAUGAUUUCGCUAUAAAGGUUCAGUCAACUAGUCGGCCGAAC